rnacentral:tRNA from 1 species
GGUUGUAGCUCAGUGGUAGAGUGCUUGCCUCACAUGCAUGAGGCACUGGUUUGAACUCCAGCACCA